rnacentral:rRNA from 1 species
UGGGGAAUAUUGGACAAUGGGGGCAACCCUGAUCCAGCAAUGCCGCGUGAGUGAUGAAGGCCUUCGGGUUGUAAAGCUCUUUCGCCCGAGACGAUGAUGACGGUAUCGGGAGAAGAAGCCCCGGCUAAUUCCGUGCCAGCAGCCGCGGUAAUACGGAAGGGGCUAGCGUUGUUCGGAGUUACUGGGCGUAAAGCGCGCGCAGGCGGUUGAUCGAGUGAGGCGUGAAAGGCCCGAGCUCAACUUGGGAACGGCGUUUCAUACUGGUCGGCUGGAGUCCGGGAGAGGGUGGUGGAAUUCCGAGUGUAGAGGUGAAAUUCGUAGAUAUUCGGAGGAACACCGGUGGCGAAGGCGGCCACCUGGCCCGGUACUGACGCUAUAGCGCGAAAGCGUGGGGAGCAAACA